rnacentral:rRNA from 1 species
UCUGCUAAGUCGCAAGACGAUGUAUAGGAGCUGACGCCUGCCCGGUGCUGGAAGGUUAAGGGGAUCUGUUAGAGCAAUCGAAGCAGUGAACUUAAGCCCCAGUAAACGGCGGCCGUAACUAUAACGGUCCUAAGGUAGCGAAAUUCCUUGUCGGGUAAGUUCCGACCCGCACGAAAGGCGUAACGAUUUGGGCACUGUCUCAACAACAGACUCGGUGAAAUUGUAAUUCCGGUGAAGAUGCCGGAUACCUGCGACAGGACGGAAAGACCCCAUGGAGCUUUACUGUAGCUUGACAUUGGGUCUUGGUACUACAUGUACAGGAUAGGUGGGAGGCUUUGAAACCAGGACGCCAGUUUUGGCGGAGCCAUCCUUGGGAUACCACCCUUGUAGUACUGGGACUCUAACCAUAGGCCAUGAAUCUGGUCUUGGGACACUGUCAGGUGGGCAGUUUGACUGGGGCGGUCGCCUCCCAAAAGGUAACGGAGGCGCUCAAAGGUUCUCUCAGUACGGUCGGAAAUCGUACGUAGAGUGUAAAGGC